rnacentral:rRNA from 1 species
AUUGAACGCUGGCGGCAGGCCUAACACAUGCAAGUCGAACGAGUGGCGGACGGGUGAGUAAUGUCUGGGAAACUGCCCGAUGGGGGGGGAUAACUCCUGGAAAAGGUAGCUAAUACCGCAUACCAUCGGAUGUGCCAAGAUGGGAUUAGCUGGUAGGUGGGGUAACGGUGCACAUAGGCGACGAUCCCUAGCUGGUAUGAGAGGAUGACCAGACACACUGGAACUGAGACACGGUCCAGACUCCUACGGGAGGCAGCAGUGGGGAAUAUUGCACAAUGGGCGCAAGCCUGAUGCAGCCAUGCCGCGUGUAUGAAGAAGGCCUUCGGGUUGUAAAGUACUUUCAGCGAGGAGGCGUUACUCGCAGAAGAAGCACCGGCUAACUCCGUGCCAGCAGCCGCGGUAAUUC